UAGUGUUAAGCACACAAGACGAAACCU
rnacentral:piRNA from 1 species